GACGAACCGUGCGAACGUUAUUCGGAAUCACUGGGCCUAAAGCGCGUGUAGGCGGCCCGGCACGUCUCUGGCUGAAAGCCCCCGGCUCAACCGGGGAAGUGGCCGGGAAACGACCGGGCUGGAGGGGGGUAGGGGGGACGGGAACUCCGGGUGGAGCGGUGAAAUGCGUUGAGAUCCGGAGGAACGCCCGCGGCGAAAGCGCGUCCCUGGACCCCGCCUGACGCUGAGACGCGAAAGCCAGGGGAGCGGAACGGGGUAGUAAAC
rnacentral:rRNA from 1 species